CGAGUUGGUUAGGCGAUCGCUGUCGCAAUGCGGCAGAGGAAAGUCCGGGCUCCAACGGGUCAGAGUGCCAGGUAACGCCUGGGGGACGUGAGUCCACGGAAAGUGCAGCAGAAAGGAAACCGCCGGGCAUUGUCCGGUAAGGGUGAAAAGGUGCGGUAAGAGCGCACCGCGCGGCUGGCAACAGGCGUGGCGAUGGUAAACCCCACUCGGAGCAAGACCAAAUAGGAAUCCAAUAGCCGUGACCCUCGGCGGAUUCGGGUAGGUCGCUUCAGGCGGGCGGUGACGCCCGUCGCAGAUGAAUGAUCGUCCAAGACAGAACCCGGCUUAUCGACCAACUCACUAU
rnacentral:RNase_P_RNA from 2 species